UUCUUUAGAAAUGCAUAUUGCUUCCCUACAUCUUAACUAAUGCAGCAUUCCGGUUUUCUGUUUUAUGUAAUACUAUUUCAAAGAUUUUUGCCAACAAAGAGGAACAAAAGAAUGAAGGAAAUAAAAAAGAAUGUUCGGUCCUCAAUUCGAGGUAUUAUUGAUAAAAGAUUGAAGGCAAUGGAAGCAGGUUUACUUGUGUGAAUAUGCCAUGGUUCACUUCAACAAUCUCCAUUUUGUUAAGGAUAAAGUAUACUUGUCUGGAAGUAUUUGUUGAAGAGUUGAAGACAUAAUUAAGAAAAUCAAAAGUGUGAUUUCUCAACAACUUAAGCUUUUUGAUGAGUCGGUCAGGUCAGAUACAACGUGAUAACUGAGCAAAUAGAGUUCCUGGGUUCGAGUCUCACCGUCACACACAUACAUUUUAUAUUAUGAAGGUGCACUUAAGUGGUCAAAUAUCGAUUGUGAUUUAAUUGAGAGAAUGAUCAUAUCAGCUAACAUAAUCCAAAAUUCUUACCUUCUUCUUCAUUUGUUUCUAAUUUUUGGUUGUAUAAAUGAUCUUCAAAUUUGUACCACUUGUAGUAAAUCGUGAGACAUAUGGUUGCAGGGAAAAAUUCGUUUGUAUGGAUGGGUCCAAAUCCACAAGUAUUAAUCAUGGACCCUGAGCUUAUAAAGGAAGUACUCUCGAAAAACUACUUGUAUCAAAAGCCUCGUGGAAAUCCAUUUUUAGCGUUGUUGGUACAAGGACUGGUAAGUUUUGAGGAAGACAAAUGGGCCAAACACAGAAAAAUCAUCAAUCCCGCUUUCCAUCUAGAGAAGCUAAAGGUUUGUCUCUGCUUCCCUCCCCCCUUUCCUCCUUCAACUUAGUGAUUGGUCAACCAGAAAUUAUUAUGUUCACGAUUCUUAAUCUAACAAUGGAUAAACUGCGGACUUUCUCUUCUCUCGCUACUGCUUUAGCUAAGUCUUUCUAUCUCCCUUGAUCUUCAUUCCUUACCGUUCAAUCUAAACUUUUUAAGUAUCUGGCAUAUGGCUAUGUCGAGUAAUUUCUACUGAAUUAGAAAAGCAUUGAAGGGUCAUUGACAAUUUCCCUCUUUCACCAUUUUCUCGAACAGCAUAUGCUUCCAGCUUUUUACUUGAGCUGUAGUGAGAUGUUGAGCAAAUGGGAAGACAUUGUUCCACUUGAAGGCUCACUUGAGAUAGAUGUAUGGCCUCACCUUCAGCAAAUGACUAGUGAUGUAAUCUCCCGGACAGCUUUUGGAAGUAGUUACGAAGAAGGUAGAAAGAUUUUUGAACUUCAAAAGGAACAAAUUCAGCAUCUUACCGAAUCUAUGCAAUCAGUUUAUAUCCCAGGAUGGAGGUAAAGUACUCUAUUACAAACUAUAAUGUUCUUCAAAAAUGCACAUUGCUUCCCUUCAUCAUUAAUUUCUUAUCUAACCCAUGUUGGUUUACUGUUUUAUGUAAUCCUAUUUCAAAGAUUUUUGCCAACAAAGAGGAACAGAAGAAUGAAGGGUAAACUAUAAUGUUCUUUAGAAAUGCAUAUUGCUUCCCUACAUCUUAACUAAUGCAGCAUUCCGGUUUUCUGUUUUAUGUAAUACUAUUUCAAAGAUUUUUGCCAACAAAGAGGAACAAAAGAAUGAAGGAAAUAAAAAAGAAUGUUCGGUCCUCAAUUCGAGGUAUUAUUGAUAAAAGAUUGAAGGCAAUGGAAGCAGGGGAGGCUGACAAUAAGGAUCUAUUAGGCAUAUUGCUUGAAUCAAAUUUUAAAGAAAUUGAACAACAUGGGAACAAGAAGUUUGGAAUGACCAUUGAAGAAGUCAUUGAAGAAUGCAAGCUAUUCUAUUUUGCUGGCGCAGAAACAACAUCAGUGCUACUCAUAUGGACUCUGGUUCUGUUGAGCAGAUAUCAAGAUUGGCAGGCACGGGCCAGAGAAGAAGUCUUGCAAGUGUUUGAGAGUCAAAAACCAGAUUUUGAUGGAUUGAAUCGUCUAAAAGUUGUGAGUAUUCUGAUUUUAUUGGUUCACUUUAUCUAGUUUCUACUGUCAUUGUUAUUGUUAUUGCUUGAGUUCUUAAAUUUGCUAAGUUGGAAUUUUGUGAUACUAAUUUAAUAGUGGAAUGGUGGGAGGCCAAAGCCCCCGUGAACAGUGGCCGUAAGCCCUUAACUGCAAUGUUAAAUUUUUACAUGGCUCAUUCAUUCUGGAUAUAAUUGAAGGAGGAGCAUUUUUUAUGGCAGGUCACGAUGAUCUUGUACGAAUCAUUACGACUAUAUCCCCCAGCAACAUCGAUUAUCCGGCGGGCUAAUAAAGACAUUGUAUUAGGAGAAGUAUCUAUACCAGCUGAUGUACUAAUCUCAUUGCCAGUGAUCAUAUUGCAACAUGAUAAAGAGAUAUGGGGUGAAGAUGCAAACAAGUUCAAUCCAGAGAGAUUUAGAGAAGGAAUAUCAAGUGCAACAAAAGGUCAAGUAACAUAUUUUCCAUUUGCUUGGGGUCCUAGAAUAUGCAUUGGACAAAAUUUUGCCAUGUUAGAGGCAAAGAUGGCUGUGUCUAUGAUCCUACAAAGCUUCUCUUUCGAAUUGUCUCCAUCCUACACACAUGCUCCUCAAUCCAUAAUAACCAUGCAGCCUCAGUUUGGUUGCCCACUUAUUUUCCACAAACUGUAACUUUUUGCUUGAACCUUGGUAUUUGUAUCAGGAAAUACAUCAACUUUGUAUGUCUUUUAACGCAGUUUAUUAUUCGUUGCAACUUGUAAAUCUUUAUAUAUAAAUUUUGCUACGCAUCAAAAGUAUUAGGUUUAGAUGAACUCAGUGAUCUCUACAUCCACAAUUGUCGUUGGCAGGUAUUGACAUGACAAGAAACGGUAAUGAUGGAACGAUAUAGUAAUUUUUUUAAAAAAUAUUGACGGUGUGUGAACUAGCUUACGAACAUCUCAAUUAUCAUUAAUUAGUUACUUGAACAAUCCUCAUUAGUAUCCUUCAUAAAUAUAUCAUUCAGUUGAUCUCUCCGUUUUACAUCUUCAAAAAAAAUCAGGUCAUCUUAAAUCGUAGCAUUGGUAAAGCGGAAGUCCAUUUCGAUAUGUUUAACUCUUUCAUGCUUCAUUAAUUUGGUCACAAACAAAUGUAAUAGAUCUUCAUCGAUUUUGAAACUGCAAAAUAAUCAUGCAAGUGAUUAGAGUAUAUGUCAAGUUCAAGAGUUCCUUUAAAGUAACACAAGUUUUGUUAGAGAUCUACUGAUCGUGUGUUUAAUGAUAGGUGUGUGUAUAAACUAGAAAGAAUUACGGUUUUAGUCUCUGAGUUAACGUGUUAUUCUAGUUUUGGUCCCUAUGAUAUCCGAUUAACCACUUUUGACCUUCAAUUAAACCCUAACUGCUAUUUUGAUCUGAUGACUAACGGAUCUCAUCAACCUGAAUGCACUAAUAAAAUACCUUGUAUAUAUUAUCCAUGAAAAAGUUUGAAGUCAUACUAAAAAUGUUAAGAGGUGAAAUCAAUAAAAUUUGCUUAAUUAGAUGCCCAAUCAGUAAAAAAUGUGCCUAGAUAUUAUAAAUGCUGAAAAAGAAUUUAACAUUUUUGCAUAUAAUUUAUUUUCAUAAAGGGUCAAAAAAGUGCUCUUACUAACGUUAUUGGUUCAUUUGGAUUGAUAAUUCAUGUUAGUUAUCUGAUUAAAAUAGCACGUAUUGCUUCAUUAAAGAUUAAAAAUGCUUAGUUGAAUAUUACAGAGAUCAAAGCUGAAAUAACACGAUAACUCAGAACUCAAAAGGUCAUUUCCUCGCAUAAACUAAUUGAAAAUGUUGAUUGCUCGGGCAAUAAAGGCAUACUAGUGAUGUCUAAACAGUAGUCCAAACCAGAGAGAGCAAAUUGAUAACCCGAUAAAACUAGGAAAAAAUACAUCAAAUAAACAUUUAAACAUAUCUGUUUUUGGUCAGAUAGAAUUUAAUUUAAAUUUGGUAUAAGGAGCAUCUCCUGACAAAAAGAGUAAACUCAUUCAACUUCUUCUUUCUGUGUUGGCAUAAAGCUAGUGGGUACUCCACCUAUAGGAAUUAAUUUAGCAACAAAAGCAAAAUUCUUGGCAAAUACGUAAGACCAUGUAUAUAUGAGGCUGACAUCUGAUUAGCCUUUAAGGUCAAGGAAGCUGGUGAUAAGGGAGCGGGCAACCAAAGCCAGAGUGAAUGGUGGCAUAAUUGUAACAAUUAAAUUUUACAUGUCUCAUUCAGACUAAGAUAUAACUGAAGGAGAAGCAUUUUUGUUGUAGGUGACAAUGAUCUUGUAUGAGACACUACGGUUAUAUCCCCCAACAAUAGCUAGUAAUAAUUUGGCGAGUAAUGAAGACAUUGAAUUAGGAGAAUUGUCUCUACCAGCUGUGCACUAGUCUCUUUGCCAGUGAUUUUACUGCAUCAUAUAAAGAGAUACGGGGUGAAGACGCAAACAAGUUCAAUCCUGAGAGAUUUAGAGAAGGAAUAUCAAGUGCAACAAAGGGUCAACUUACAUAUUUUCCAUUUUCUUGGGGUCCUAGAAUAUGCAUUGGACAAAAUUUAGCCAUGUUAGAGGCAAAGAUGGCUGUGUCUAUGAUCCUACAAAGCUUCUCUUUCGAAUUGUCUCCAUCUGACACACAUGCUCCAUCUUUCUCUCUUUGUGGCUGCUAAAAACUCUUUUCUGGAUGGUGCAAUAAGUCCUAAAAAAUCUAUAUAAAUGCCCCAUAGCAAUGGAUUUAUGAACAAAAAUGGGUUGGUUCAAUUGAGUUUUAUUUAUUCACAUAUGAAGGGAAAACGAUCCAUAGCCCAAUAAUUCUCCCCCUCACGACUGUGUGGAGGAGACCAUCAUCCCGGUGAUCAUGCAACAAUCUUCAACUUCCCUCUAAAAAGUAGCAAAUUCUAAAAUUUUGUGAUUUUAAACUAAAUAUGUGUAUGUAUUAAAAUUCUCUUCGAAUCUCUUGAUUCUUGUUGAAAGUUGCUUUAAGAAUGCAACUGUUUUUUUUCCUUUUUUCUCCAGCAAUAUUUUUUUUAACGUACAAUCCUAGUUAAAUUAGGAGUCCUAUCUUUGGUAGGAAACUAGUUAGUUAUUCUAAUUUUGGUAGAAAUACGUGUUUCUUUGUCCUAUUUUUAGUUGUAAUAACAACUAUCUAAGUUGCUAAGUUGAUGAUCAAUUAUAGUCGGUCUUUCAACAAGAAAAUAAUCUCUCUCUGUCUCUCUACAUAUUCUCUUCUUCAAACUCCAUCUCUGUUUCUGCGUCCAGCUUUAAAUUGAAUUCCUGUGUUAUUUCCCUUUAACAGUUUUAAACCAACAAUUGGUAUCAAAGCUUUAAUCUUAAGGGACCUGUGAGUGUUGUGCAUCAAUCUGAUCUAGUGGAUACCAUGAAUGGAGAAACAAAUUCUUCUUCAAUGGCACCACCAACUUUCGAUAGAGAAAGUUAUCAAAUCCGGGCAGUUAGAAUGCGGAUAUAUCUACAAGCUUUGAAUCUCUGGGAAGCUGUUGAAGAUGAACACGAGAUAGCUCCCUUGCCAGACAAUUCCACGGUGGCGCAGAUUAAAACUCACAAGGAGAGAAAAACUAGGAAAUCAAAGGCAAUGACAUGCUUAUUUACUGUAGUUUCAUCUAAUAUCUUGACUCGUAUCAUGUCUCUACAAUCAGCAAAAGAGGUAUGGGAUUAUCUCAAGACUGAGUAUGAAGGAGAUGAAAGGAUUCGAGGGAAGCAAGUGGUGAAUCUGGUACGUGAGUUUGAGCUGCAAAGGAUGAAAGAAAGUGAAACCAUAAAGGAAUACUCUGACAGACUUCUUAAUUUAGCAAAUCACAUCAGAUUGUUGGGUUCCACUUUCAAUGAUUCAAGGAUCGUUGAAAAAAUCCUAUUAACGGUACCUGAAAGAUUUGAGGCUACCAUAACAACCUUAGAAAACACUAAGAACUUGUCUAAGAUCACACUUGCAGAGCUCUUAAGUGCUUUUCAAGCGUAAGAGCAACGGCGUAUUAUGAGACAAGGAGGAGCUGUCGAAGGUGCCUUACCAGCCAAACAUCACGAUGAUGGACGUUCUAAGAAGAAGAAGAAUAAGAAGUACCAACCAACUGAUGAAGAAGGUGCAACGCACAACAAUAAAAUCAAAACAGGUGGUUUCAAAGGAAACUACCCUCCUUGUAAGCAUUGCAGAAAGCUCGGACAUGCACCUUUCAAGUGUUGGGAGAGGGCUGAUGCUAAGUGCAGUAAGUGCAAUCAGCUUGGGCAUGAAGCGAUCAUCUACAAGAACAAAACUGAGCAGUAAGAUGCAGAGGCUCGAGUUGUUGAUGAACUGGAAGAAGAUCAACUCUUUGUCGCAUCAUGUUUAACAAGCAGUGUCUCAAGCGAAUCGUGGCUGAUCGAUAGCGGAUGCACAAAUAAUAUGACUUGUGAUAAAAAUCUUUUUAAAGAUUUGAGCCCUACUAAAGUUACAAAAGUUAUAAUCGGCCAUGGUGGUUAUAUUCCAGCAAAAGGAAUGGGAACCAUUACAAUUGAAACAUAAUCGGGCACUAAAAUAAUUUCUGAUAUUCUUUAUGUACUCGAUUUGGACCAAAACUUAUUAAGUGUUGGUCAGUUAUUAGAAAAAGAUUUCAAAUGUAUUUCAAAGAUAAACACUGUUUGAUCAAGAAAGCAUCUGAACAAGACCUAUUUAAAGUCAAAAUGAGAGGCAGAAGUUUCUCAUUAAAUCCAUUGGAAGAAGAACGCGGAUUUCACCCGUUGUGUGUGGAGCCACCUCUACUAAAAGAAGAUAUCAGACCUGAUGAUGAAGGCUGGAUUUGUCCUGGUUGUGAUUUCAAAGUUGACUGCAUUGACUUGCUUAAUGAUAGUCAAGGAACCGACCUUUCCUUCACUGACAGCUGGGAGAAAGUAUAUCCCAAGGAAGUUGUUGCUGCGUCUGGGGAGAAUCUAGAUGAUAUUUCUGAACUUCCAUCUGAUGACUUGAAGGAUGAUGACUUCAACCUUGAAAAUCCAGAUGUAAAAAAAAUGAUUUUGAAGUUGAGGCCAGUUCUGAUGAAUCUACAAAGUAUGGGACUUCACAAGCUUCCAAGAAAAACGCUCGUUAUCUAAUGGAAAAGAUAAUCUUGUUAAACUUUAGGAUGCCAAGUCAGGGAUGGAACUUUCGUCAUUUCACGGGCAUAAGAAUACCGUUCUCCGCGUGAAGUGGAAUCAGAAUGGUAACUGGAUUCUUUUUUGCUUCCAAGGAUCAAAUUAUCAAGCUUUAUGACAUAAGGUCUAUGAAGGAUCUUGAGUCAUUCCGUGGGCAUUAGAACGAUGUGAAAUUAUUGGCCUGGCAUCUGUUUCAUGAAGAAUAUUUAGUCAGCGGAACCUAUGAUGGUUCAAUAUUUCAUUGGCUUGUGGGUCAUGAAGCUCCUCAAGUAGAAAUUACAAAUGCACAUGAAACUGGUGUUUGGGAUCUUUCAUGGUACCCAAUUGGUUAUCUCCUUUGCAGUGGCAGCAAUGAUCAGACAACAAAGUUCUGGUGCAGAAAAAGGCCUGGCGACUCCGCUCGUGAUAAAUUCAAUCUAGGACAGCAAGGUUUGGGUGAUCAAAACAAUGUUCUUGGUCGCAUGCCUGGUAAUUUUCCAGGUCUUGAGUCCCCCUCAACUCGUGGAGCAUUUACCUCCGGUAUAUUAAAAACUGAGGGUACAAUACCUGGAGUUGGAACUGCAGUGCCUCUGUCUAUCCCAUUACUUGAUUCAUCACCUCAAGGAGAACAGAAGACUUCAAUGCCAAUUUCAAUGCUUUUAGGAGCUCCUCCUUUUUCUCAUGGUCCACAUCCAUCUCUUCUUGCAAGUAAUCAGCAACAAGAGUAUCAACAAAAUAUGCAGCAAGUUCAGCAGCAGCAGUCACUACCUCAACAAAUGACUUCUCUUCUUCUGAAGCCUUCAAAUUUGCCACAGUUAGAAGACCUGUUCACUAAGCCACUUCCAAUCAGCAAGUUCGAGCUUCUAAGGCAAAGAAUUGGUGUUUGCAUUUCAUAAAGCAAGGAGGAGUGUUGAAAGUUGCUUUAAGAAUGCAACUGUUUUUUUCUUUUUCCUUCAGCAGUUUUUUUUUACGUACAAUCCUAGUUAAAUUAGGAGUCCUAUCUUUGGUAGGAAACUAGUUAGUUAUUCUAAUUUUGGUAGAAAUAGGUUGUUUCUUUAUCCUAUUUUUAGUUGUAAUAGAAACUAUUUAAGUUGCUAAGUUGAUGAUCAAUUAUAGUCGGUCUUUCAACAAGAAAAUAAUCUCUCUCUGUCUCUCUGCAUAUUCUCUUCUUCAAACUCCAUCUCUGUUUCUGCGGCCAGCUUUAAAUUGAAUUCUUGUGUUAUUUCCCUUUAACGGUUAUAAACCAACAAUUCUAAACAUGUGAUGUGGGAUGUUGAAAAUAAAUACUCCGUCCAUUUCAAUUUGUUUGUCUCACUUUCCUUUGUGUCUUUAUGGAAAAGAAUAUCUACUCUUUUUUGGAAACAUUUUGAUUUCAAUUUUUCACAUUUUGUGUUCAAGACCAUAAGCUUAGAGAACAUUUUGGUACUUUUCACUUAUUUUUAUGAGCCUUCGUCCUGUUGUUGUUUUAUAAAAUUUCACAGUGAGUCAUAUGCCCAAAGUAGUUCCUGUGCUCACACUUGAUUACUGUUAACAUAUAUUUUCUCUUCUAGAUUCUCCGUGAAAUGUAUUGCUAUGAAUUCCCAUGAUUAUGUAUGAGUUGUUGCCCUAUUGCUAUAUAUUCACCAUAUCUUCGACGAAAUCAUAAUUCAUCCAAUAUGUAACUGAAUUCUAUAACUCGAUUAGCUUGACUUCGGUAUGAACAAAGAAGGAAACUAAAUAGUCGUGCAGUGGAUCAAGAAAACAGAAUAGUGCUACAGUGAAGCCAAAGGAAAAAAAAAUAGAACUGCAUCUCAAAAAAAAGGGUAGGUACUUCAAUUUUCUCAUUUUUACUUGUAUAUUUUGGUGUAUUAUAAAGAUAAUACGUGAACUGAAGUAUAAUUUAGAAUAAAAUUAUAUGUCAGGACCCAUAUUCUCCCCAUAGGAUUACAUUUUCAUAUUGUCUAUUAGAUUAUGGUUUAUGCGGUUGAAAGAUCUAUUUAUAUGAAUUGAUCAUCAAAGGCUGAGAAGAUUCAUUUUUUGAUGGGACUGGUGCACUGAGCAUCUAAAGAUGUUGAGCUCAAAAAAUAUUUGUACAAUAUUUCUUCUAAAAGGUUAGUCAUUUUAUCAAUAAGUUCAGGUUAACAACAACAGUCAUCUCAGCCCCAACAGCAAGCUCAGGCACGACAACAACUUAACAGCUCAGCCACGACGACAACACCUUCAAAGCAUGUAUCAAAGUAAUAGCUUUUGGAAAUAUCCAAUCUUUGUAUAGUAAAAGAGUAGGUAUACCACCUUGUCACCCGCAAAUGCCUCCUAUUUCGUCAUAUUCUCAGAUCCCUUUAACCAGGCCAUGGGAUAAACAAACGAGUAUGCAGAAUUUUUGUAAUCCAAGGCUAUCACAUUCACGAUCUUUAUCACAACCAGCUGUUCUUUGUUGAAGAAAAUUUGUUCUAUAACAGGUUGAUCCACAAAGUUGAUACUGUAAUUGAAACGGACAGGAAUAAGCAAUACCACAAAACGAAAGAAAAUAAGAAGAACACACAGAUUUUACAUGGAAAUCCUUGACAGGAAAAACUAGGGGUAGAGGAGGAGAAGAUUCACUAUGAUGAAGAGGAAUACAUGGAGGAGACGAAGGUUUCAAUGAUGUAUAUAAACUACCACAAACAACCCACUAAAUCACACUUAUAUAAUACGUGCGUACAAAUAAAUCCUAAGUCCAAAAAAUCUCAAACAUGGAUCGCAUCGCAAACUUUUUAGAGCCGGGUCAACAAAAUUCGGGUCACAAACUCUAACGGAUACAAUGUCCUUUAUAAUUGGAAACCAUCUCAUCAAUGUGUGUGGUUGCAUCCUUUGCUGUUUUUGUUAAACUCGUGUUUCAUUUGUUGAGCAUUACGUUCCUAAUGUAAGGAUUCUCACACACCAAAUGGUUCUUUGAUACCAAAUUUAGUGUAUAUUUUGAUGAAAUUGUUACUCAUGCAAUAAAGAGGAUAUAUUAAUUUCACUCGACAAGGAACAGAACAACUUAUUAUGUUCGUUUUACUGUCUAGGCACAGGACUUGGCGUAUGGAGGCCAGAGGGUACUUUAAUAAAGUGUAAGUCUCAUGCAAUUUCGGAAAUUGGGUAGUUGAGCAUCUUGUGAUUUUAUUAUUUACCCUGCUUUUUUUUUUUGAGGUCUGAGUCAUUUGUGCGUUAUAUGCAGGCUUCAUGUUGUUGCAUCAAACACCGUUAAUUGAAACAAAUGAUUCACUGCUAUUGUUCCUCUUUCUUCUUUUGUUUUGUUUGUGGGAGGUUUUCGUUAUAAUACAUGAGAUGGAAAAGCAGUCCUGAUUCUUCAUAAAUAGAGCCGUAUCUGCAAUUUCAGAUAAUAAUAAUGAAAUCCAUCUCUGUCCUAUAGUGCUCAAUAAUUUGGGCCAAAAUUGAAAUUGACGUAAUAUAAAAUAAUUUUUGACAAGAAAUCAUACCCGACAUAUAAUAGACAUGCAGCUUAUCUUUGCUCUUUUUAUCAGAUGAUAAAUUCAAAAAUAUAUGGCAGCAUGUUGUUCAGAAGGUUUGUAGAGAAAAGGAAAUCCUGAUUUUAUUGAUUGUAACAGGAAUCCAAAUCUAGAAAGGAUGUGUCCGGAUCACUUGAGCUGAUAAAAAUAUGUAUCCUCUCAAUGCAACAACUACUGCCAACAAAGGAUUAAACAGACAUUAAAAAUUCAAAUGGAACAGAACCUCUCGCUGCACGCAAUAGCGGAAAGCAAUACCGAACAGGCAUGGAUUGUGCUCACUUCCCUGCUCCUUCAACCCUAUAAUUGAAACAAGGAGUGCAAUUUGGAUAAACUUAGUAAUUUUGAAUUUAUCGAACCCAUUAUCCAGAAGGAUUUUGAUAUAGGAUUCAACUAGCAUAGGACAUUGUCUCGAUUGCAACAAAUACAUUUUUAUAUGGCCAUUGAUCAAAUAUCUCUCAACCUUGUGAUGCAUCAAAUUUCUUCAUUUAUGUAAAUAAGAUAUGCAUAAUUACAUAGUAAAACUUGAUUUUUCUACUUAUAAUUCUAACUGAUACAAUUUAGCUUAUAGUACAUAAACAUCUUGCUUUGAUAUUGAGCCUGUGCAGACACGGACCGCACACCUCUAGUCAUUAAUAAACAUGUGCCACUAUCAUAAUAAAAAAGUUGUGAAUAAUUAAUUAAAAUUUGAAAGAAAAUGACUCUUUGAAGUUUUUUUUAAGAAAAUCAGCCUAAUGCGCUAAGCUCGCGUCGUACACAAGGUUCGGGGAAGGGUUCGACCACUAGGGUAGUCUAUUGUACGAAACAUCACCUUAUAUUUCUACAAUGAGUCAUUCCACGACUUGAACCUAUGACCUCCUGGUCACAUUACAACAACUUUAUCAGUUACUUCAAAUCCUCCCCACUUUUUAAUUUUUUUAAAAAAUAAUUUUUAAAACUUGAAGUUGUGUUUAAACUUUAAACGGGAAAAUUUCAUCCAUGAUCACUUAACUAUGUAUCUAUUACUCAAAAGUCAUUUUUCUUUCAUUCAUUUCAUCCAUAGUCAUUUAACUUUACUUUGACCAUCACAAAAGUCACUAUGAUCGGAUUUUACAAUAAUUUCAUCGAAAAAAUGAUGUGGCAACCUUAAUUAAUUCUUAAUUUAAAUUUAAGUGAAUAUAUAAUAUAUUACUCAUAUCUUGACCCUUUUUACAUGUGCACAACACAAUUUUCCUUAUGGACUAUUUAAUGAAAGAAUACUAAUUUCUUGAUAGAUUAGAUUGCCUAGACUAUUUUAUUAAAAAAAUUUAGUUGAUAUUUUUAUGAAAUAAAAUUAUACUUAUAUAUUCUUAAAAUUCUCUAAAGUUGAGACAUGUGUUGGUAAAUUAUUUUUUCCUCUAAUAUGAUGGUAUGUAGUUGAUAAAAUUAUUUUUCUCCCUCUAAAAUUGUGACAUGUAGUUGACAAAAUAAUUUUUUUCAUACAUUUUUUUUCUCACCACUUGAGUCUUUGCAUUCGGUAUAUCAUAAUAAGAUGAUAAACUACUCUAUUUAUUGAGUUUAUCUUUAUAUUUUUAAUUGUUUGACUAAUCGAUUAAUUCUCUUAAAAGUUUUUAUUAUAAGAUUCAAUUUCUUAUGAAUUACAUAUUUUUAAUUAAUUUAAUUGAUAAAUAUAAAAAUUAGAUAUCCUAUAAUUUCUUUAUCUAUUAAAGUACUUAUAUUUUAUAACUUUUAUUAACAAAACUAUACGUUAAUAUAACAUUAUUUGUAAAAUUUUGACAAUACUUAUUCAAUGACACAAUUAAAAAAAAUGAUUUUAAAACUAUCUUUAGCAUGUUGAUUUAUCUUCAAAGAAUUAAAAUAUUUUUUUUUAAAAAAAUAAUAUCAUACAAGUAUUUCUAUUUUAUGUGUUUUGAAGAAUUUAUCUUAUUUAUCACUCUUUUUCGAUGCACCUUUUUGGUAGAUGAAUGCAAUAUUAUGAAAUAUUUCAUAAAAAUAACAAUCAAUUUUUUCUAUGAAAAUAGUCUAUUAAGAAAUUGGUAUUCUUUCAUUAAAUAAUCCAUAAGGAAAAAUUGGGUUUGCACAUAUAAAAAAGAUCAUAUUAUAUAUUCACUUAAAUUAAAAUUAAAUUUCUUUCCUACAUCUUAACUAAUGCAGCAUUCUGUUUUUCUGUUUUAUGUAAAACUAUUUCAAAAAUUUUUGCCAACAAAGAGGAACAGAAGAAUGAAGCAAAUAAACAAGGAUGUUCGGUCCUCAAUUCGAGGUAUUAUUGAUAAAAGAUUGAAGGCAAUGGAAGCAGGGGAGGCUGACAAUAAGGAUCUUUUAGGCAUAUCGCUUGAAUCAAAUUUUAAAGAAAUUGAACAGCAUGGGAAC
rnacentral:lncRNA from 1 species